AGUGUCAAUGUGCGUGAAAGACACGUCCCUAGGCAACAUGGCUGCCAGCCACUGUAUGGUUCUUGGGACUGGACAGGACUCAGGGACUGUGAGGAGCAGCAGAGAGCCUGUGAAAGGGACUUUUAAUACCUGAGAAGAUUGAGAUUAUGCCCAGGUUCAAAAAUUGUGGAUCCUGCCCUUGCUCCUUUUCGGUUGGCUGCAGAGCUACAGAAUCAUCUUGAGGAAGUCCAGGAACCUCGGCACAGUUUACUAGAUGUUCUGCAGUCUUCUGAGUCCAGGUGAGUCGCCCUGCCCAUCAAUGAAGCCAUUGUGGACCCAGCAAAGACAGUUUGAUACAUUCCUGCUUCUCGUUCUCCCACCCCUAAGAGGGCCAUGAAGCGGUACUAUGCCCUGUCCCAGAGGGCAGAGUUUUUGUUGUCUCACCCUCUGCCAAAUUCCCUGUUGGUCUAGGCAGUUACAGAGCAAUCCAAGCAAUAGCACCCAAAGGCUCUGUGGCCAAUCUGUCUAUGAACCUGGCCUUUCUAAUAGCCAUAAUGUGAGCUGGGAGCACUCAAAAC